rnacentral:rRNA from 1 species
UACGUAGGUGGCAAGCGUUGUCCGGAUUUACUGGGUGUAAAGGGCGUGUAGGUGGGACGGCAAGUCAGGCGUGAAAACCAUGGGCUCAACCCAUGGCCUGCGUUUGAAACUGCUGUUCUUGAGUACUGGAGAGGUUGGCGGAAUUCCUAGUGUAGCGGUGAAAUGCGUAGAUAUUAGGAGGAACACCAGUGGCGAAGGCGGCCAACUGGACAGCAACUGACGCUGAGGCGCGAAAGCGUGGGGAGCAAACAGG